rnacentral:rRNA from 1 species
GACGUAGGGUCCAAGCGUUGUCCGGAUUUACUGGGCGUAAAGAGCGCGUAGGCGGCUCGUUAAGUGUAGAGUGAAAUCUCUGGGCUCACCCCAGAAACUGCUCUGCAUACUGGCGAGCUGGAGUGAUGAAGAGGUUUGUGGAAUUCCUGGUGUAACGGUGAAAUGUGUUGAUAUCAGGAGGAACACCCAUGGCGAAGGCAGCAAACUGGUCAUCAACUGACGCUGAGGCGCGAAAGCGUGGGUAGCAAACAGG